AGCAGACGAGCAGCAGUACAACUGUGGUUCUGGUGUCUGUUCUGUUCGCGUUGAUCGCUUUGGUCACAGCAGGUGUUAUCAUCAUCAUCGCGAGAAGAUCGAACCGACUCAAAAUCCCUCAGCAGCAGCAGGUCUUCAGUUCGGUCCAGUUCAGGUCUACUUCAACCACCCUGCAGCUCCAGAGUCGAGGUUCUGCGGUGGAGAACAUCUACCAGAUAGACGGCGACGCCGGCGGCGACUACGAGCUCUGUCCCUGAGACCUGAGAAGAUGAAGAGCUGAGGACAAACACAAACUCUGUAAAGGGUCGAGCAGGACAUUCGGCAGGUAUCAGCUCUGUGACGCUGAGCUGAAAACAUUCUGCAACCAGAAGAAGAGCUUUGCUGCGAGAAACGUCCAAUCAGAGAGCUUCAGACCGCGUUCAGGUCAUGUGAUGAUGGAUAUUAGAGAAGAUAAUGAUGAUGAUGAUGAUAAAGACCUGCAAGCGUUCAGGUGAUGAAGGCGACUGUUUGAUUACAGAGUUGUUUAUUAAAUUUGGGUUUAACUUAA